UGGGGAAUAUUGGACAAUGGGGGAAACCCUGAUCCAGCGAUGCCGCGUGAAUGAAGAAGGCCUUAGGGUUGUAAAGUUCUUUCACCUGUGACGAUGAUGACGGUAGCAGGAGAAGAAGCCCCGGCUAACUCCGUGCCAGCAGCCGCGGUAAUACGGAGGGGGCUAGCGUUGUUCGGAAUAACUGGGCGUAAAGGGCGCGUAGGCGGUUUAAUAAGUUAGGCGUGAAAGCCCCGGGCUUAACCUGGGAGGUGCGUUUAAGACUGUUAAACUGGAGUGCGAGAGAGGAAAGUGGAAUUCCUAGUGUAGAGGUGAAAUUCGUAGAUAUUAGGAAGAACACCAGUGGCGAAGGCGACUUUCUGGCUCGCAACUGACGCUGAGGCGCGAAAGCGUGGGGAGCAAA
rnacentral:rRNA from 1 species